rnacentral:rRNA from 2 species
UCUGGUGUCAGCCGCCGCGGUAAAACCAGCACCUCAAGUGGUCAGGAUGAUUAUUGGGCCUAAAGCAUCCGUAGCCUGCUUUGUUAGUUUUCGGUUAAAUCCAUACGCUCAACGUAUGGGCUGCCGGGAAUACUGCAAAGCUAGGGAGUGGGAGAGGUAGACGGUACUCGGUAGGAAGGGGUAAAAUCCUUUGAUCUAUUGAUGACCACCUGUGGCGAAGGCGGUCUACCAGAACACGUCCGACGGUGAGGGAUGAAAGCUGGGGGAGCAAACCGGAUUAGAUACCCGGGUAGUCCCAGCUGUAAACUACGCAAACUCGGUGAUGCAUUGGCUUGAUGCCAAUGCAGUGCCGCAGGGAAGCCGUUAAGUUUGCCGCCUGGGAAGUACGUACGCAAGUAUGAAACUUAAAG